rnacentral:rRNA from 1 species
UGGCCAGACUCCUACGGGAGGCAGCAGUGAGGAAUAUUGGUCAAUGGGCGGGAGCCUGAACCAGCCAAGCCGCGUGAAGGAAGAAGGCGCCAGGCGUCGUAAACUUCUUUUGUCGGGGAACAAAGGGCGCCACGCGUGGCGUUGUGAGUGUACCCGAAGAAAAAGCAUCGGCUAACUCCGUGCCAGCAGCCGCGGUAAUACGGAGGAUGCGAGCGUUAUCCGGAUUUAUUGGGUUUAAAGGGUGCGUAGGCGGGCAUUUAAGCCGGCGGUCAAAUGUCGGGGCUCAACCCCGGCCUGCCGUCGGAACUGGGUGCCUUGAGUGGGCGAGAAGUAUGCGGAAUGCGUGGUGUAGCGGUGAAAUGCAUAGAUAUCACGCAGAACCCCGAUUGCGAAGGCAGCAUACCGGCGCCCUACUGACGCUGAGGCACGAAAGUGCGGGUAUCGAACAGGAUUAGAUACCCGGGUAAA